rnacentral:rRNA from 1 species
GACGAACGCUGGCGGCGUGCUUAACACAUGCAAGUCGAGCGGUAAGGCCCUUUCGGGGGUACACGAGCGGCGAACGGGUGAGUAACACGUGGGUGACCUGCCCUCAGCUCUGGGAUAAGCCUGGGAAACCGGGUCUAAUACCGGAUAUGACUCCAUGACGCAUGUUGUGGGGUGGAAAGCCUUGUGCGGCUGAGGAUGGGCCCGCGGCCUAUCAGCUUGUGGUGGGUGAUGGCCUACCAAGGCGACGACGGGUAGCCGGCCUGAGAGGGCGACCGGCCACACUGGGACUGAGACACGG